UUGAGUCAAGAUGAGCUGCCCAAAAAGCUAGAUGAAAUGUUGAUGAAUGUGGGUGUACUGGGCACACUCAAAACACAAAUUCAAAACCACCCAAUUCAUGAGUCGAUGCACCCUGUAUUGAAUGGAGAGUUGCACCCUCUGUCCAUUUCACUGCAAGGGAACUCCCUCUUACUAGGAACCCCUAACUCUUUAGUGGCUGAUCACUAACAAAGAUAUGGCUAUGCGUCUUCACUUUCUGUUUUCUUUCCAGAAAUUGGUUUAGCAAAAGAAAAGUUUAAUAUGCAGGAUUGAUUGCACUCUAUAAAAUUCACCCUACUCCCAGUUUCUAGAAAUCACUGGUCUCAGGAUCUGAUAAAGAAAACCAAAAACUGACAACCUUCAGCUUAUUGAUGAUCAACUGACAGUUGCUUACCCUUAGAAUACAAAGUUUGAGUCUUUAGAAACAAAGCUAAAUGAAUAUAAGAGAGAAAUAGAAAAGCAACUUCUGGCAGAAAUGUGUCAAAAGAGUAUGAGACAGAAUUAGCUAUGUUCUGAAGUUUUGAGAAAGCUUGUCAAGCAGAAUCUGAAGCCUUCAUUCCUUGAGAAAAGAGUAUCCUUGAGAGAAAUCAAAAGCACCAAGAAAUUGAAACAAGAAAAUUCAUGCUCAAAGCCUUCUUUUACUAAAAGAUAUAGAUUUGCUAAGAGAAGGAAAAGCAGAGCUGAAGCAGACAGUUGAAGAUUUUGGAUUGACCCAGAAACUCCAGGAAGAAAAACAUAAAAGCAUGACUGAGGACUUAGGAGAUGGGAGCACAAUACAAAGUGUCUUGAGGAGAACGAUGACUGAAAGCUGAAGAACAAACUUCUAAACUCAGGUAUCAACUUGAACUAACAGAUGACUACAUCAUUAGAAUUAAUCGACUGAAGAUGAAAGGAAGGAAAACCUGUUUACUUGCAAGAGGAGAACACAGUUACUAAUUCAAAAAGGAGGAACUCAAUGAAUCAGUAAAUUUUAUGUAAGAACUUGACGUCAUUGUUUUAAUGUCUGUCAAAGCACAGUCUUUGGCAAUAACAAAACAAACAUAUGCUGAAUGAAAAUGUUUAAGAGAUGGAUGACUAUUUACUACUAAAAGAAGAAAAAUUGGAAGAGAAUAAAAUGAAAACAUGCAUCUCCUAAAC
rnacentral:lncRNA from 10 species